rnacentral:rRNA from 1 species
UUGACCUCGGAUUAGGUAGGGAUACCCGCUGAACUUAAGCAUAUCAAUAAGCGGAGGAAAAG